rnacentral:rRNA from 1 species
UACGUAGGCAGCGAGCGUUGUUCGGAAUUACUGGGCGUAAAGAGUGUGUAGGCGGUGCUCUAAGUUCGGUGUGAAAUCUCUCGGCUUAACUGGGAGGGUGCGGCGGAAACUGGAGUGCUCGAACGUGGGAGAGGAAAGCGGAAUUCCUGGUGUAGCGGUGAAAUGCGUAGAUAUCGUAAGGAAGACCAGUGGCGAAGGCGGGUCUCUGGACAGUUCCUGACGCUGAGGCACGAAGGCCAGGGGAGCAAACGGG